UAGUGAGAAAAAGUUUACCAAAAUGGUCCCUACGUUACAAAAUUACAAAAACAAUCCCCCUUUAUGAAAAAAUUUACAGAAAUGUUCUUUGUGUAAAAGAAGGUUACAGAAAUGGUCCCUAUGUAUGAAAAAAUUACAGAAAUGGUCCCUCUCACUGCAACAGGUGCGCUUAAAACCCUUGUAAUUGUACGUUAUAUAAAAGAUUAAUAAUAUUUUGUUUAAGAGUUUUUUGAAAGCUUACUUUUAUACUAUUUACAAAAUGAUUAAAUACAAGAAGGUUACAGAAAUGGUCCCUGUGUAAGAAAAAAUUACAGAAAUGGUCCCUCUCACUGCACCAUGUGCGCUUAAAACCCUUGUAAUUGUACGUUAUAUAAAACAUUAAUAAUAUUUUGUUUAAAAGUUUUUUGAAAGCUUACUUUUAUACUAUUUACAAAAUGAUUAAAUAAAAGAAGGUUACAGAAAUGGUCCCUGUGUAAGAAAAAAUUACAGAUAUGGUCCCUCUAGCCGCAAGAUGCGCGCUUAAAACCCUUGUAGAUGUAUAUUAUAUAAAACGUUAAUAAUAUUUUGUUAAGAGUUUUUUUGAAAAUUAUUUGUAUACUAUUUACAAAAUGAUUAAAUAAAAGAAUUACCUCCAUUUCCAUGAGAGCCAAUAU
rnacentral:lncRNA from 1 species